AACGAACGCUGGCGGCAUGCCUAACACAUGCAAGUCGAACGAGACCUUCGGGUCUAGUGUCGCACGGGUGCGUAACGCGUGGGAACCUGCCCUUAGGUUCGGAAUAACUCCCCGAAAGGGGUGCUAAUACCGGAUAAUGUCUUCGGACCAAAGAUUUAUCGCCUUUGGAUGGGCCCGCGUUGGAUUAGCUAGUUGGUAGGGUAAAAGCCUAUCAAGGCGACGAUCCAUAGCUGGUCUGAGAGGAUGAUCAGCCACACUGGGACUGAGACACGGCCCAGACUCCUACGGGAGGCAGCAGUGGGGAAUAUUGGACAAUGGGCGAAAGCCUGAUCCAGCAAUGCCGCGUGAGUGAUGAAGGCCUUAGGGUUGUAAAGCUCUUUUACCCGGGAUGAUAAUGACAGUACCGGGAGAAUAAGCUCCGGCUAACUCCGUG
rnacentral:rRNA from 1 species